CUGUUUAGGAGUUUGUCUUGUGUGGGUUUCACGAGACGGGGGAGGGCGUAUCAGCGUCGUCAGGGUUUAUGCACGAUGGAUCCAGCAUGCGGGGUUCUCCGUUCUUGGGAUCUAGGGCUUAGGUCGUGGCGUGCGCAAACUGGGACGCGUACGUCGGCAUUUUGAGACUAAAGAGAGAAACGUCGGAGGAGCGAGGAGCUUUAUGGUGCCAGAGGAGAGGAGGAACAGACUCUAGGACUCGGCGCUACCCUCUUCGGUUCCUGCGGCUCCACAUGCUCCUCCUAGAGCAGCUGAUGCUGCUCCUCCACCUCUUGCGGCAGCUGCCGCGUCGGCGGUUGGGAAGGCAGCUGCAGCAGUUCUUCCCAAUGCACCCUUAGGUGUCGAGUCCCAAGUCCCUGAAGGACGAGUUCGGUCUCGACGAGGCACGCUAGGUCCUGACGCCCAAACUCGUAGGAAGGCUUCACGUUGUACUUACGUAGGGAGUUCGGUAAGAGCCUUACCUACAGUAGACAGUUCGUUUUAGACCCUACCCGUUCUGACGACAAAAACAGGAGAGUUGAGAGGUCGUCUAACUAGGCCAACGACCCGUUCAUCGACGUGAACACAAUACGGUAUGUGCUCUCAAUCGUAUGGUCUAAACGUUACUUAAGCUCUCCAAAUCGUUCAUGGACAGUCUUUGUUUUCAACGACAGAAGAUACCACCGCAAGUGUAUUUUUUUGUGUUCCUAAACAACUUCUUACUUACAGGAGUGUAACACCAACCGUGUGGACCUUCCUAGGAUCGAGACCGAUCUCUGUUCCUGGAAAGUAACUUCUUACACUCCGUAAAGUAAGAACUACUUACACUGUUCUACGAACUAAGUGAACUGUACGCAUCUCUACAGGUCCUCUAGAAGUUCUACUGUGGGGUACUCUUUGUUCACUACUACAAAAGUCGUUGUGAGUCGUUCCUCUAAGCGGGCCAAACGUUCUUUAAAUACGUUCUAGGGUACCUUUAAAUACAACUACUACUCCGAUUUGACUGGGAAGUACCAGAUCAAGUCGUGAUAUAAUUUGAUUCACUCCGCCUCUUCUUAGCCUUUAACUUACUAGAGAAUCUACGCGAGCUGAAGUUGGUUUAACACUAUAAACAAUUUUCACAACCAUCUCGAAGUCUUGAAUUGUCCGACGAGACACUUACGUUAAAAGGACGCUAGACGUAUGUAAGCCCUUACUGUGUCCUCCUCUCCAACUGGGCCAUAUUCUUGAAGUUCCUUCCCGUGUUCUCCUAGGAACACCGAUGCCUAAACCAACCGUCCCCCUAACUAUAACUCGCACAGUUAUAACAGUAUUUGAUACUGUACGGACUAAGACGACUAUGUAUGAACGUGUCCCAACCUUCCCGACCCGCAAAACCUUGGUUUCCCGAACGUUAUUGUAAACAACGAAGACGGAGACUGAGACUGCAGGAGUUAGUCCACGUUCUUUCCAAACUCCAGCUGUAGUUCCUCGACGGACUCGUCUAGCUGUGAAGUUGUAUGUACGGUAGAACUUCUAGGUUCACCACCGAUCCUCCCAAACGAAAAGUCUGUGUCGUGGAAAUGUAAAGAUAACCCAAUGUAUUUGAAACUACAAUCUCUACGAGAUCAACAUGAAUUAGUCGCUAACUUAGACGACUCAUAAAACAACAUCAUGAGUCUGAAUACCAACAAUUCCUUGGAUAAGUUCUACAACCACAAGUAGUACAAACACUCGUAUAAUAAUCCUGUAAGAAUACAAUCAAAACCUUCCCCCCGGAGCCGCGUCGACAUUUCAACAACGGAACACUGGUACUCAGUGCCGAAACCCAGGACCUUUGUCGGAACGACUUUACAUCCCUUUCUGACGCAUGUUCUCUGGGUUUAACCAGCCUGCCAAUGGGCCUUGGACACGUUAGUCCUCAAUGCACGUGGCCAAAAGGGGUAAGAAUACAAUAAAAAGAAAAUCGUGAAAGUGAAUGAUUAAAAGAAAAUAUGAUUGUAGACUAACUUAAAGUGAACUUAAACACGAGACCUAGGUUUAAUUAACAGCGUCGAGAUCAUGUUUAAUUAACACCUACAUUACGUUUCGACGAACAUACACUUACGAACUCUCUUACCAAAGUCU
rnacentral:rRNA from 1 species